rnacentral:rRNA from 1 species
AUUGAACGCUGGCGGCAUGCUUUACACAUGUAAGUCGAACGGUAACAGGGUGCUUGCACCGCUGACGAGUGGCGAACGGGUGAGUAAUGCGUCGGAACGUGCCGAGUAGUGGGGGAUAACGCAGCGAAAGUUGUGCUAAUACCGCAUACGUACUGAGGUAGAAAGUGGGGGACCUUCGGGCCUCACGCUAUUCGAGCGGCCGACGUCUGAUUAGCUAGUAGGUGAGGUAAGAGCUCACCUAGGCGACGACCAGUAGCGGGUCUGAGAGGAUGAUCCGCCACACUGGGACUGAGACACGGCCCAGACUCCUACGGGAGGCAGCAGUGGGGAAUUUUGGACAAUGGGCGCAAGCCUGAUCCAGCCAUGCCGCGUGUCUGAAGAAGGCCUUCGGGUUGUAAAGGACUUUUGUCAGGGAGGAAAUCCUAGUGGCUAAUAACUACUGGGGAUGACAGUACCUGAAGAAUAAGCACCGGCUAACUACGUGCCAGCCGCCGCUGUAACAC